rfam:Rattus norvegicus chromosome 20, whole genome shotgun sequence.
GGGGAUUUAGCUCAGUGGUAGAGCGUUUGCCUAGCAAGCGCAAGGCCCUGGGUUCAGUCCCCAGCUCCG